GUGAAAAUGGCUUACCUAACUUUGAGAUUCUUGUUGCUGUACUUCAUUCUAAAAGUGACUGCCAUAAAGCUCUGGUCUCCUCCCGGAUGGAUGAUUAAAAUGCCAUGUCAAUAUGAAUAUGAGGCUCAAGGAAGUAUCCAGCAGUUGUCCCUACAGUGGAGAAGCCCCAGGAACCAGCUCCUCUGUCACCUGAUCAAGCACAAAACGUACAGCAACUGCACAGCUGGAUAUUCAGUGCACUACAACCCAGGGAAUAUUACUCUCAUCAUCGCUGAGGUGAGGCAGGAGGACUUUGGGAGGCAUGUGUGUUCUGUGAGCAAGCUUCAUGAAUUCUCAGACUUCAGCAUUGAAUUAUACCAGAAGGAAGAUCUCUCUGCUGAAUUACCAAAAGGCAAGGUAGAUCAGUCAGGUACAGUAUGUAAUUGUAUUCACUUAAUUGAGAAUUUCAAUUCAAAGAGCAUUAAUGAAAUGUCAUGGGUAGUUUUUGAGAUGAUAUUAGUUUAUUCAUUGAGUACCUAACUCUUACCCACAGGUUCUGCAAAGGAUCAUUUCUUCCUUCUUGGCUGCAGUCUUUUUGUAUCCAUAUUUGGGUAAUAGGACUAGAAUAAUGUUCAUCAUUACAAUAAUGAUCACCAGACUAAUGUUUCAUAUUAGAUGCCAUAUAUUCUGAGAUAGCGAUUACCUGGCAUUUAUACAGUCCAAAAAUAAGAAGUCAAUGUUUUAUUAUUGUUAUUUUUUUCAUAACAGUACCACUGGAUGGCAGUAUACUCAUAAAUAUCACUGAAACACAUUUUUUAAGCUACAAGGCCUAAAGUAGCCUACUUUAUAUAUAAAAUAAAAUAAUAUAUNUACAAAAUGAAUUGCA
ensembl:lncRNA